rnacentral:rRNA from 1 species
GUCGAGGGGCAGCACGAUGUAGCAAUACAUUGGUGGCGACCGGCGCACGGGUGAGUAACGCGUAUGCAACCUACCUAUCAGAGGGGAAUAACCCGGCGAAAGUCGGACUAAUACCGCAUAAAACAGGGGUUCCACAUGGAAAUAUUUGUUAAAGAAUUAUCGCUGAUAGAUGGGCAUGCGUUCCAUUAGAUAGUUGGUGAGGUAACGGCUCACCAAGUCCACGAUGGAUAGGGGUUCUGAGAGGAAGGUCCCCCACACUGGUACUGAGACACGGACCAGACUCCUACGGGAGGCAGCAGUGAGGAAUAUUGGUCAAUGGGCGAGAGCCUGAACCAGCCAAGUCGCGUGAAGGAUGAAGGAUCUAUGGUUUGUAAACUUCUUUUAUAUGGGAAUAAAGUGAGGAACGUGUUCCUUUUUGUAUGUACCAUAUGAAUAAGCAUCGGCUAACUCCGUGCCAGCAGCCGCGGUAAUACGGAGGAUGCGAGCGUUAUCCGGAUUUAUUGGGUUUAAAGGGUGCGUAGGUGGUUAAUUAAGUCAGCGGUGAAAGUUUGUGGCUCAACCAUAAAAUUGCCGUUGAAACUGGUUGACUUGAGUAUAUUUGAGGUAGGCGGAAUGCGUGGUGUAGCGGUGAAAUGCAUAGAUAUCACGCAGAACUCCGAUUGCGAAGGCAGCUUACUAAACUAUAACUGACACUGAAGCACGAAAGCGUGGGGAUCAAACAGGAUUAGAUACCCUGGUAGUCCACGCAGUAAACGAUGAUUACUAGCUGUUUGCGAUACACAGUAAGCGGCACAGCGAAAGCGUUAAGUAAUCCACCUGGGGAGUACGCCGGCAACGGUGAAAC